CUCUCCCCGACGCUUCCGCCGGCGGCCCAGUCCCUUGCCCUGGGACCCCAGCCUGUAGUGUUUGGAGACCCCGGCUCCUCUUCUAUUUCUCUUGAUCUGGGGUCCGGCUGGCGAUAGUGUCCGCGGUGCGCCCCUUUCUCUUGGUCGUUUAUGACCUCCACGUCGUCUUUUCUUCAGGUGCGUUGGGCCCCCUCCUCGGGUGUUCUCUCACGGCCCAGCAAUCAGGGCCUGUGCGGCUCAAGUUCAGCCUCAGCUUUGUCUGGUACCCCUUCCCUGGUGAGAGCUGAGAACUCAAGGACCAGACUCAACCUGCCCACAAGCUUUCUUCCCUUACCAGGGCAGAAAGCCUUUUCGUAUGACUCCAUGCUCUUUAACGUCUCCAAAGGACUAAUUUACAAACUUUUGAGCUCUAUGGCAUGGAGUUUUUUGUAGACAGAUUGAGACAUCCCAUUUCAGAUGAGGUUAUUAUCUACUCCAAUGUUCAGUGCCACAAAAUUAACUUUCAUACAGGUUACUUUUUUUUUUUUUUUUUUUGAGACGGAGUCUUGCCCAGACUGGAAUGCAGUUGCACGUCUCGGCUUACUGCAACCUCCUCUUCCCGGGUUCAAGCGAUUCUCCUGCCUUAGCCUCCUGAAUAACUGGGACUACAGGCGCGCGCCACCAGGCCAGGCUAAUUUUUGUAUUUUUAGUAGAGAUGGGGUUUCACCAUGUUGGCCAGGCUGGCCUCGAACUCCUGCCCUCAAGUGAUCCGCCUGCCGGGGCCUUACAAAGUGCUAGGAUUACAGGCGUGAGCCACUGCGCGCGGCCGUAUAGAGGUUACAUUUUGAACAAGCAAAGCCCCAUAUAGCCAGACACGGCCUUGUUUUUUGCACUGUUAAAAAAGCAAACGGCUGGCCGGGCGCGGUGGCUCACGCCUGUAAUCCCAGCACUUUGGGAGGCCGAGGCGGGCGGAACACGAGGUCAGGAGAUCGAGACCAUCCUGGCUAACACGGUGAAACCCCGUCUCUACUGAAAAAACAAACAAAAAAGCUGGGCGUGGUGGCGGGCUCCUGUAGUCCCAGCUAGCUACUCGAGAGGCUGAGGCAGGAGAAUGGCGUGAACCCGGGAGCCGAAGCUUGCAGUGAGCUGGGAUCGCGUCACUGCACUACAGCUUUGGCGACAGAGCGAGACUCCGUCUCAAAAAAAAAAAAAAAAAAAAAAAAAGCAAACGGCUGAUUCGAGGUUGUGCAUAACUGACUUAGCACUGGAUACUAUGCCGAUCACUAAUUCAUAAAACAAUAAAGGUGAAAUAUAUAGAAUAGUAAAGUGAUUAGUGUGACUGAUAGUGGUUCAAUUUAAAUAGUCAUAAAUUAUGAUGCACCAAAUCAAAAGAUUAUAGGGCCACCUGGCCGGGAGCAGUGGCUCACACCUGUAAUCCCGGCACUUUGGGAGGCGGGCAGAUCACCUGAGGCCAGGAGUUCGAGACCAGCCUGGCCAACAUGGUGAAACCCCCAUCUCUACUAAAAAUACAAAAAUUAGCUGGGUGUGGUGAAGCCUGCCUGUAGUCCCAGCUACUCAGGAGGCUAAAGCAGGAGAAUCAUUUGAACUGGGAAGGUGGUGGUUGCAGUGAGCUGAGACGCGCUACUGCACUCCACCCUGGGAGACAGAGCAAGACUCUGUCUCAAAUAAUAAUAAUAAUAAAAGAUUAUACUGCCACCAAAAACAUAGUAACAUGUGGGAAAGAAAAGCAAGACACAGAUGUUUUAUUUACAACAUAAUUAUAAUAAAAAUAGGUAUGCAUGGCCGGGCGUGGUGGCUCAUGCCUGUAAGCCCAGCACUUUGGGAGGCUGAGGCGGGUGGAUCACCUAAGAUCAGGAGUUCGAGACCAGCCUGGCUAACAUGGUGAAACCCCGUUUCUACUAAAAAUACAAAAAAUUAGCUGGGCAUGGUGGCACGUGCCUGUAAUCCCAGCUGCUCUGGAGGCUGAGGCAGGAGAAUCACUUGAACCCAGGAGGCGGAGGUUGCAAUGAGCUGAGAUCACACCAUUGCACUCUGGCUUGGGCAAGCGGAGCGAAACUUCGUCUCAAAAAAUAAAUAAAUAACAAAAAUAAAAAUAGGUAUGCAUAUAAAUACAGAUUGUAGAAGAAUACAGAACUCAAACUAGAAAAUCAGACUCUUCUUAGAGGAUACUGAGGAUGGUUCAUCCCAUUGGGGUGCCCUGUAGAUACCUGGAGCUCUUUUGGUUCCUGCUCUGAGUUCUGCUUAUCCAGGAUUUUCUUCUGGGAACCUCCCUCUAUUAGUUAGAGUACAGAGUAUGCUGUAAUAAUAAAGAGACCCCAAAAUAUAGUGAUUGAAUUAAGAUGGAAGCUUAUUUCUCAUCUAACAGUCCAGAGGUAGGAGUGGUGGAGGCUAUAGGGUGGAUCAGCUUCAUUAAUUCAUCCAUGGACUCUGCUGUUUUGGUUUUAUUUUGGUUUGGUUUGGUUGUUUUUUUUUUUUUGUUUUGUUUUGUUUUGUUUUGUUUUCCAAUCCUGCCCCUUCUGCAUUCACUGGUUUCUUUCCUCGACCCUAGGUAUUUUUCCUAAUUUGCAUGGUUAAAGGUGGGGCACUGCAGUGGAUCUGCACUGGCGCCACCUAGCGCUGGAAAGGCCAAGAGGGCCAAAGUAGAGGGCAACCGAUUUCUUUUUAAGCAAGUGAUGCAGAGGACACAUACAACUUUCAUUCAUAUUCCAUUAGUGAGAACUUGACCACACUUGGUUGUAAGGAAAUUCAGGCAAUGUGGUCUCUAGCUGGGAUUCAUGUGCCCAAGUAGCAAUGUAUUAGCACUGUAAAAGGGGAGAACCGACUUUGGGGGACAACUAACAUUUCAUGAUCUGCCCAUUUUCUUCUGACCAACUUCCUCGAGAUAAUUUUCUUUCUUCUGAAUUUCCUAAAGAGAGGUUCGUUUACUUCAGUUUACAGACAGUCCUUGUUUGCUUCAAUGUACCUUAACCGAUGCCUCAUUCUUCAGGCCCUAAUUUAAAUGAUACCUCCUAAAAGAGGCUUACCUGACUACAUUCUCAAAAGCAGGUGCCCCACCUGCUUCCUACCACCAUUGUUCAUAUCUCAGUACUGUGCUUCCUUCACCGGUACUUAUCACAGUUUGAAAUUAUAAUUUUUUUUGCUAAGUUUUUGUCUGUCUCUUCCACUCUGUCUCUUUUCUUCACCACCACAUCUCUACCACCUAGUACAGUGCCUGUCACUGGAUAAGUAAAAAGUAAGUAUUUGGUAUUGAAUGGAUGAAAUAGUAGUCAAGGAUGACUCUGAGAGUUCUGAAGUGAGCAACUAAACAUACUGAUGAGCCAGGCACAGUGGCUCACGCCUGUAAUCCCAGCACUUUGGGAGGCCGAGGCAGGUGGAUCAUGAGGUCAGGAGUUCAAGACCAGCCUGGCCAACAUUGUGAAACCCCAUCUUUACUGAAAAUACAAAAAUUAGCUGGGUGCGGUGGUGGGCACCUGUAAUCCCAGCUACUGAGGAGGCUGAGGCAGGAGAAUCACUUGAACCCAGGAAGCGGAGGUUGCAGUGAGCCGAGAUCGUGCCACUGCACUCCAGCCUGGGCAACGGAGCAAGACUCUGUCUCAAAAAAUAAAUAAAUAAACAUAUUGAUAAAAAGAAAAAAUGGGUAAGCUUGGAGGAAGAAGAGAAGAUGAUCAGUUUUGUUUGCAAAUACUGAAUUUGAAGUUUUGAAUGAUUUCAAGGUGACAUCCAGAAGGCAACUAAAAAUGUGAAUCUGAAGCUCUGGAAACAGCAUCAGAUUGGAACUACAGAUUUGAGAGCCUUGAGAAUUUAUUACAUCACUCAUGAAGAACACGGUGAGAGAACAGAGAACAUUUAGGAGGGAACUGUAAGGAACAAAAACAUUUGCUGGGUGGGCAGAAGAGAGAGCCUGGGAGGAAAUAUCAGGGGCUGUGAACAAGAACCAGGGAGAAGAAACGUUCAGGGAGGAAACAGCAGUCACAAGUGACAGAGAUUGGUGGUAAAUUACAUCACCUAUGUCAGAAAGGGUCCCUUAGACCUGCCAAUUAGGAGGCUUGGGUAUCGUAGCCUUAGCUAGAAUAGUUUCAGUGGAUUGGUGGGCUAUGGACUGAAGACAGAAGGUUAAGAAGCAAAUGUAGCAAUUGUAGAACAUGGUUUCAAGAAGUGCAGCCAUGAAAACAACAGACAGAUUUCAUUUAGAAAGGCAAGGUCAAAGGAGUUUUUUUACUUUUUUUUUUUUUUUUUUUUUAGAAGAAAGGCAGCUUGGAAUCUGUAUAAAUGAAAGAGAGAGAUAGAAUGGGUAAAAAUGAUUGAUGGAAGAAUUUUGACCUACUGGGUUUGAGGUAGGAGGGGAAAACAGAAGGGUGCUCUUCUCUGAAGGUGUAAAGAUAAAUUUAGAGCGGACAGAGCAGCAAAGAGUUGAAAAGUUUUUGUCUGUUGGCCUUCAAUUUAUCCAUGAAGGAAGGAGCAACGUUAUCUGCUACAAGGACGGAGGUGGCGGGGAAAGUCUGGACUGGUUUUUAGGAGACAAGGGGUGGGGGGUGAGGGAAAGACUAUAGAUAAGAGGACAAACAGAAGGUCUGCUUUCGCAGAUCUACUAUGGUCGAAAAUUAUUUUUUCUUUCCUCCCCUCUAUCCCUUCCUAACCUAAGCUUGUCGCAAAAAAGGCUUCAAGCUGCCAAAUCCAAAUUUUUCCACCAAUAUACCCCGAUACUAGUUUUUUCUCCAAAAACAACGGGCAACUAACACGCAGGGCAGAGAAAACAAACAGUUGCCCCAGGCUUCCUUCGUUCGAAUAGUGAAGACUGAGCUGGCCUCGGCACUGUGCAGACUCCCAACCUGUGCUACUGUGGGUUAUUCUCCUUAUAGUGCAGUCACCUCCUAAAUGCUUGCUGAAAAUAAUGGAAGACUUCGAGCCAGAUGUUUGCCUCUUAAGUAACGUCCCCCAAAAGAUGCAGCACAUAUUUAAGGCCUGCUGAAGCAAGCAACGCUGACGGACCAGGUUAUUGCGUUUUUCUCUCGCUGCGUGUCCGGACGCCACACUAUGAGCAUUAAGCGCAUACUGACCAAUUUCUGUUAAGCAGGAACGUGGUGUUCUGAUCAAAACACAGGGAGCCGCGGCCGCAACCGCGCCGAUAAGCUUCCGGGGUCCCAACCCUGUAAGGCAGAACGGCUGCCCAGCUCGGAUGACGCCACACUAACGUAGCCUCCAGACCGCCCAGUGUGGGUGUGUCCAAGCUCACGUCGCCCGGCGUGGCCCCCCCGCUCCCCAAUGACGUAACUGCCCUGCAGCUUCUAGUAGCUUUUCGCAGCGUCUCCGACCGCCGGGCGCGGUGGCGCGUGCCUGUAGUCCCAGCUACUCGGGAGGCUGAGGUGGGAGGAUCGCUUGAGCCCAGGAGUUCUGGGCUGUAGUGCGCUAUGCCGAUCGGGUGUCCGCACUAAGUUCGGCAUCAAUAUGGUGACCUCCCGGGAGCGGGGGACCACCAGGUUGCCUAAGGAGGGGUGAACCGGCCCAGGUCGGAAACGGAGCAGGUCAAAACUCCCGUGCUGAUCAGUAGUGGGAUCGCGCCUGUGAAUAGCCACUGCACUCCAGCCUGAGCAACAUAGCGAGACCCCGUCUCUUUUGC
rnacentral:lncRNA from 1 species